rnacentral:tRNA from 1 species
GCAUCCGUAGCUCAGCUGGAUAGAGUAAUCGGCUACGAACCGAGCGGCCGGAGGCUCGAAUCCUCCCGGAUGCACCA